UCGGCGACCGGCGCACGGGUGAGUAACACGUAUGUAACCUGCCCUAUGCAGGGGGAUAACCCGGAGAAAUCCGGCCUAAUACCGCGUAACACCUUUUGGGAGCAUUCCCGGGAGGUUAAAGGAGAGAUCCGGCAUAGGAUGGACAUGCGUCGCAUUAGGUAGACGGCGGGGUAACGGCCCACCGUGCCGACGAUGCGUAGGGGUUCUGAGAGGAAGGCCCCCCACACUGGUACUGAGACACGGACCAGACUCCUACGGAAGGCAGCAG
rnacentral:rRNA from 1 species